rnacentral:lncRNA from 1 species
AGCGCGGAACGGCGGUUGCUCUGCCCGGCAGAUUGAUCUCUAAAGACUCAUGUUGCCUGAGGAAGAAAUCCAGAAGAGGAGGGAAAGGAAAGGAAAGGAGUCAGGAAUGGCUGUUUCUCAGGUAAAGUCAUAGUCUCAAUUGACUGUUUCAUCUGUCCUUCCAAAAUCCCUUUCUUUGGACUUGCCAGUCUUCUCUGACACUAAAGAGUGUUCUUGCUCAAUGAAAGUAUUUUUUUUUUGUCAUGAUUUUUAAUUAUCUAAGAAUUUCUCAACUCUACUAUUUUGAUAAUUUUUUCCUUAAUCUGUUAAAUUAAUGUUUACCACUAAUAACUUUUCCAAUUUUGAAUCAAUAUCUUAUCUGGAAUAAACAAAUUCUGUUUGGCUUUUGUUAAUAACUACAUAUCUAAAUUUAAAUGGAUAAAACUGUAUUUGUAUUUUCAAUUACAUGCCAGGAGCUACAGCUCUGAUUAGACCCCUAGCCUGGGAACCUCCAUAUGCCGUGGGUGCAGCCCUAAAAGGACAAAAAACAAAAUAAAUAAACAAACAAACAAACCCAAUAUAUGUAGCGCUGCUCUUAGUAAAAGCUGAAGCUAUGAGGAUCCUCCGAGAAUUCAUAAUAGAAGGAAACCUUGCAAAUACAAUGACUGGGAUAAAACUUAUGCAAGUGUUAAAGCCUUAAAAUCACAGAUUCCGUCAAGGAGAGAAAUCAUGUAUAAUUUAUGUGUAUGACAAAGCCUGUAAUACCAGGCCUUUGGUAUCAGAAUGUACAUCUCUUUUUUUAAGUUGUUUAUUUUACAGUUGCACCCACAGCACAUGGAAGUUCCCGGACCAGGGAUUAAAUCUGAGCCACCGCAGCAACGCUGGAUCCUUUAACCCACUGCAGCGGGCUGGGGAUCGAAGCCCCACCUCCACAGCAACCCGAGCCACUGGCAGUUAGAUUCCACAGCGGGAACUCCCAGCAUAUACACCUUUGAGAGAAACCACACAAGUGCGAUGACUGUAUCACAAAGGUUAUCCAAAGUUUAAGCCUCGCGGCACAUAACAGAAUUCUUAGUGGAGAGAAGCCUUGCAAAGGUAAUGACUGUGACCAGCUUUAUCAAAACGGGUACCUUUGUGCUCAGGAAGGAAUUCAUGUCAGAUAGGAGCCAUACAAGCAUGUCAGGGCCUUUAGGCAGUGACCUCAGGACAUUAUACCCCACAGAAGUCCUACUCAACAGAAAUGUUACAAAGGUAGCGGUGAUUCUUACACACAUAGGAAACUUUAUACUGGAGAAACUAGGCCUGUCAGCGGAACCAAGGAUAUCUGGGGGAAAGUGUGAUUAUCUUCUUCAGCUUGCAAGAUUUUUUUUUUUUUCUAUUAUUUGAGGUUUCUAGAAAAGGCUCCAUUGCCGGUGGGUGACAUGCAACCUGAGGUUCGAAACCCACGGAUGUGAUCGUUUCAUUCCAUGCUUUUUCAUUUGUCACCAUGAGGAUCUCAGGGCAGGGACCGGUGCGCUGCAAGGACCUGCUUCAUCCGGUGGGGUUUAUUCAUACCCACGUAACCUAGAAAACGAGGACACAGUUUUAAGAUGCAGUGUGGCGUAAACGAGAGACCAUGGGGGAUGGCAGAACCCGUGAACACUAAUAAUACAUUGUUUGGCUGUCUAAGUUGCGUGGCGUCUAUAACAGUCUCUCUCCAUGUUAGAGUCAAGGAACUUGCAGUUUUGAAAAUGUGCUAUGUUCAUAAUCGGCAUUUCAGUUGUGUGCUCCAUGGUGUAUCCCAGGUUAUGUCUGAAGCUCUAAUAAAAAUAUCCUACU